UGGGAGGAAGUCACAGCAUCUACUUCUGAAUCUGUGCUUGCCUUGAGGAAAAACGGCAUGGCACAGGAAUGUGGACGCUUUCAACCAGAGGAUUCUGUACGACGGUGUCGGCACACACUCAUCCUCGUCUACGGCCAAACGUUGGUUUCUCAUUUCUAGAAGAUGAAAGAUGUGAUGACUCAGGAAAAACUGGAAUCUUAGUAACUGUGGUGGGCAUUGAGCCUUGCCGUCCACAAGAGAAAGCUUGCUGCUCGAGAUGUGAGUCUUCAGAUGUUCCUGCCGCCAUAUCUGACAGCUGCUGCCAAGAUUCCCUGGUGGGAUGGACUCUUAUACCUCAACAACCAGAAGCCCAAGUAAACUCUUCUAUAAAUUGAAUGACUCAUGCUUAAAAAAAAAAACAAAAAACAAACUAUCUUU
ensembl:processed_transcript 2210408F21Rik RIKEN cDNA 2210408F21 gene